GAGCCCGUGGCUCAAUGGUAGAGCGUUCGACUCGAAUACCAAAGGUAGCGGGUUCAAAUCCCGGGUGUUCC
rfam:Schistocephalus solidus strain NST_G2 genome assembly, scaffold: SSLN_scaffold0001429